GCCAGUCAGACACCUCGGGAGUUUUCUAGCCGAAACCAAACCGAAACAUUAGAGCUCUUGAGACGCUUUCAGUGUAUAUUAUUCACUGUGUUUUAAAACAAAUUUCGGUCGUAUAGAUAGUUACCCCCCCCCUCCAUUUAAUUUAAUAUGUACGUUACUAAUCAGCAAGCUGAAUAGCUAAAAUAGCCUAGCACUAGGCUAGUCGCACAUGUUAACUAGCUAUUGUAUUUAUUUCACCAGGUAGUUAGCUAACAUCCCCGAACAUGAGCUCACUAAACUUCUCUCCUCCUGUUAAAGAAGAGGAGGAUGUCUGCUGGACGAAGAAAGAGGGUCUGUGGCUGAACCAUGUCGUGAAAGAGGAGGAAGAAGCUCUGGUCAAAGAGGAGGAGGAAGAGGAGGCUGUUACCGUGAAACAAGAAGAGAAAGACGUUUCAGUUAAAGAAGAGGAAGACGCGUUCAGAGUGAAAGAGGAGGAGGAUGUUACAGUAAAAGAAGAGGAGAAAGAGGAGAUGGAAGUUACAGUGAAAGAAGAGGAAGACGAGUUCAGAGUGACAGAGGAAGAGGAGAAGGUUACUGAGGAGGAAGAGGAAGACGAGUUCAGAGUGACACAGGAGGAGGAGGAGGUUACUGAGGAGGAAGAGGAAGACGAGUUUAGAGUGACAGAGGAGGAGGUUACUGAGGAGGAAGAGGAAGUGGAUGCACCAUCGAGAGCAUCCUGUCGGGCUGUAUCACAGCUUGGUACGGCAACGGCACCGCCCACAACUGCCAGAGGGGGGCGCGGUCUGCCCAACGCAUCACCGGGGGCAAACUACCUGCCCUCCAGGACACCUACACCACCUGAUGUCACAGGAAGGCCAAAAAUAUCACCAAGGACAACAGCCACCCGAGACACUGUCUGUUCACCCCGCUAUCAUCCAGAAGGCGAGGAUGCAGUGUUUGGAGUGAAGGAGGAGGAGGGAGAGAGAACUGAGAGAACUCCGGUGCGCUCUGCAGUGCGUUCCUGUCCGCUUUGCCCUAAGGUUGUGGUCGGCUUCAGUCAGCACCUGAGGCACACGCACAAUGUGAGGAACACGGAGGAGAGGAUCCUCCUUUGUAAUUGGCAGUCGGGCCGUGUCAACAUCAGGCAGGAGCCGUGCCCAGUGACAGGAUGCUCCACCCAUGCCAGCCGGCUGGACCGGCACAUGGAGUCGCACACAGAGCUCGACAGAUCGCAGAGGAGACGGGCUUUAGAGGAACUCAGGAGACGGCUGACCAUGGAGCGGCUGGCCACGUUGAGGGCGUCCAACCCUGUCGUCCCGCUGGCCACCCAUUUGGAUAUUGUGGAGUGGGAAACAAAGCAGGAAGAGGAGGACGACUCUUUAGAUUCACUGCUGUCUCCUUUGGAAGAGGAGGAGGAGGACGUGAGCUGCGGAGAUUAUUCCUGCCACUGCCAAGCGCCCAUCCUGAGGCUACGGAAAGCUUUGCAAGAGCGGGAUGAGGCCCUGACCAAGAGAAGUGCGACCAUCCAAUCCGUUAGAGAGGACAACCUGAAGCUGACCUCGGAACUGAAUAGAGCGAGGAAGAGGUAUCAGCUACUGAAAAGUCAGAAGACGACGAGUGUCAGGGCGAGGUCAGCGAACGCAAGGUCGGGGAAGACGAGGUCAGCGAAGAGGUCCAGAUUUCAGACCGAGCCGUCUCGUCCUGCGUCAGACACAGAACAAGAGGAGCUACAGCAGGACCAAGUCGUAGGUUCAGGAGCCCAGAUAGAGGAGGCCACGGCGCCCAAAUCUAGCAGCCAAACUCCCUUCCCGGGCUCUGCUCUGAGUGUGUUUAUAGAGGGGUUCAGGAAGAUCU
ensembl:lncRNA